rnacentral:rRNA from 1 species
UACGAAGGGGGCUAGCGUUGCUCGGAAUCACUGGGCGUAAAGCGCACGUAGGCGGAUCUUUAAGUCAGGGGUGAAAUCCCAAGGCUCAACCUUGGAACUGCCUUUGAUACUGGGGAUCUCGAGUCCGGAAGAGGUGAGUGGAACUGCGAGUGUAGAGGUGAAAUUCGUAGAUAUUCGCAAAGAACACCAGUGGCGAAGGCGGCUCUCUGGGACGGUACUGACGCUGAGACGCGAAAGCGUGGG